UGAGUACACAAGUUUCUUUUAACCUUUCAAAAUAAAAAUGUGUACUGGAGGGACUUUAGACUGCUUUCCUUUAACCUGCUUUGGACUGAACUCCAAACAUGGUGACCAAGAAAUGUACAAAGUGUUCCUGCUGAUAUCCUGGAGUGAGGGGUGGGGUGAUAGCAGUGCACAGAAGGGAGAGCCUUUGUUUUGCUGUUGCUGGAGACAUGACGACAGGCAGUGCUUGGCUCCACCUAGGUGUGUGCGUAUAUGUAUGUAUGUACGUGCAUGCGCACGCAUUCUUGUACAACCGUUCCUCGAGUGUUGUCUCUAACGCAGCCUUGGUCCCAGCAGACAAUGACCGGCUCCUUGCUGUUCUGCGCCUUUCUCCCUCUGAUCGUGGCGGCUGGCUUGAGGCUCACACCCCCUGCGCACAAGACACAGGAAGUGGACCCCAGUGACCCCGAGGUUCAAGCCUGUGCCUCUUUUGCCCUGGAGAGUUUCAACUUCUUCAGCAAAGACCCACACAUCUAUGCCAUCACCAAGUUCUACUCGGUCAAGAGAGCUGAUGUCGGUGGCGGACAGUAUGACAUGGAUGUGGAAGUAACAAAAACCCAGUGGUUGAAAGACCAAGUGAGCAAAGGCUCCUCAACCGAUCAAGAGGUGUUCCGGUGUCACUUCGUGGUCCUCAGCGCUCCAUGGAAGAAGCAGAGAGCUCUUCUUCAGAGCUCCUGUACUCCUGUGGUCAGCACUGGUGCCGGCAUGCACUAAUCUUGAAAUAAUGUGCCACAAAUCUUACAGCUUCACUGCUAGCACUCACUGUGCCCCCCAGGGUCUCCAUCACCCUGCACUUAUGAACCCAUCAGGAUCUGUCUGCCAAAAUUCACAUGCCAAUAAAACCUCCUGUUGUGGAACUAACA
rnacentral:lncRNA from 1 species